CCUACGGGGGGCUGCAGUAGGGAAUAUUGCUCAAUGGGGGAAACCCUGAAGCAGCAACGCCGCGUGGAGGAUGAAGGUUUUCGGAUUGUAAACUCCUUUUGAUAGAGAAGAUAAUGACUGUAUCUAACGAAUAAGCACUGGCUCACUCCGUGCAAGCAGCGGCGGCAAUACGGAGGGUGCAAGCGUUACUCGGAAUCACGGGGCGUAAAGAGGGCGUAGGCGGGUUAGCAAGUCAGAUGUGAAAUCUUGUGGCUUAACCAUAGAAUUGCAUUUGAAACUGUUAUUCUAGAGUAUGGGAGAGGUAGGUGGAAUUCUUGGUGUAGGGGUAAAAUCCGUAGAGAUCAAGAAGAACACUCAUUGCGAAGGCGACCUGCUAGAACAUAACUGACGCUGAUGCGCGAAAGCGUGGGGAGCAAACAGGAUUAGAUACCCUUGUAGUC
rnacentral:rRNA from 1 species